UACGGGGGGGGCAAGCGUUGUUCGGAAUUACUGGGCGUAAAGGGCUCGUAGGCGGCCAACUAAGUCAGACGUGAAAUCCCUCGGCUUAACCGGGGAACUGCGUCUGAUACUGGAUGGCUUGAGUUUGGGAGAGGGAUGUGGAAUUCCAGGUGUAGCGGUGAAAUGCGUAGAUAUCUGGAGGAACACCGGUGGCGAAGGCGGCAUCCUGGACCAUUACUGACACUGAAAAGCGAAAGCCAGGGGAGCAAACGGG
rnacentral:rRNA from 1 species